GGCCUGCCUGAGGAAGGAGAGGGCCCCCAGAGUGCCACCAGCCAUGGACUGGGACAAUCCGGCAAUCUUCCCUGAUGACGACAGUGGUCGGCUGCUGUGGUGGUGAAAUCCUUUCACAGCAUUAAUGUUCAGAUCGUCUGCAAUGCUGACUGUGUGAUCAGCAAUGUUGUGGCAAAAUGGCCUGGCUCAGUCCAUGACUCCAGAAUCUUUCGGGCCUCUGAAAUCUAUCGGCGCCUAUCACAAGAUGAGCCACACAACCCCUAUUAACCACGUUUUACAUCAUGGCUGUGUCAAUAAUAUCACUGUGUUUAUGAGGUAGUAAUGAUGAGAU